AUUGAACGCUAGCGGCAGGCCUAACACAUGCAAGUCGAACGGUAACAGGAAGAAGCUUGCUUCUUUGCUGACGAGUGGCGGACGGGUGAGUAAUGUCUGGGAAACUGCCUGAUGGAGGGGGAUAACUACUGGAAACGGUAGCUAAUACCGCAUAACGUCGCAAGACCAAAGAGGGGGACCUUCGGGCCUCUUGCCAUCGGAUGUGCCCAGAUGGGAUUAGCUAGUAGGUGGGGUAACGGCUCACCUAGGCGACGAUCCCUAGCUGGUCUGAGAGGAUGACCAGCCACACUGGAACUGAGACACGGUCCAGACUCCUACGGGAGGCAGCAGUGGGGAAUAUUGCACAAUGGGCGCAAGCCUGAUGCAGCCAUGCCGCGUGUAUGAAGAAGGCCUUCGGGUUGUAAAGUACUUUCAGCGGGGAGGAAGGGAGUAAAGUUAAUACCUUUACUCAUUGACGUUACCCGCAGAAGAAGCGCCGGCUAACUCCGUG
rnacentral:rRNA from 1 species